CGUAGGGGGCAAGCGUUGUCCGGAUUUAUUGGGCGUAAAGAGCGUGUAGGCGGCUUUGCAAGUCCGUUGUGAAAACUCGAGGCUCAACCUCGAGACGCCGGUGGGAACUGCAAAGCUAGAGUCCGGAAGAGGAGAGUGGAAUUCCUGGUGUAGCGGUGAAAUGCGCAGAUAUCAGGAAGAACACCCGUGGCGAAGGCGGCUCUCUGGGACGGUACUGACGCUGAGACGCGAAAGCGUGGGGAGCGAACAGGAUUAGAUACCCUGGUAGUCCACGCCGUAAACGAUGGGUGCUAGGUGUGGGCGGUGUCGACUCCGUCCGUGCCGAAGCUAACGCAUUAAGCACCCCGCCUGGGGAGUACGGCCGCAAGGCUA
rnacentral:rRNA from 1 species